UGUCUGUUUGUGUGUUGUUUUUGUUCAUGAGUAAAAAGCACAACUAGGAUGCAGCACAUGCAGAAGCAAGUGAGCUGAGAUUGUCACUUUACCUCUACAGUCAAGAAAGAUGGAUUUAUUUCUUCAAGUGAUUUCUGAUACAAAAGCAAGGGGUUCAAAAUAACAAUAUUUAAUGGGCUAGGAAGUUGGAUCAUUGUUUUUUGAGAGGGCAUCAAUAGAAAUUGUGGAACUCCACCAAGAUUUCUUUCUCUGGGGAAAUUUGUGAUACAAAAGCAAGGGGUCUAAAAUAACAACACUAUUUAAUGGGCCAGGAAGUGGGACCAUUGUCUUUUGAGAGGGCAUCAGUAGAACUUCUGCAACUCCACCAAGAUCUUUUUCUCAGGGGAAGUAUUGACACAAAACUGUGCAACAUCAAACAGUUUGGGCAAUAUUCAGAAUUAUUUGGUCAACUUGAAAUGCAAUUAAAUUUAUUUCCACCUCUAAAUACAUUUAAAUUACAGAACAGAAUGGAACGAACUAUAGCUCUGUGGCUGUUUGUCAUGCUGCUACAACACCCCAUCAAUGCAGACCUUUCUGUUCCAACUAUUGAGUCCAACCAAACCACCAAAGAGUACACAAAUACUUCAGACAAGGACAACAAUGGCAAGCGAGUGGAUUGUUUGGUUGAUACGAAGAUAGGCCUGAUUGCUUUGGGUUCGGCAGGGGGUCUGAUUUUUUGCCUGUUGAUUGCCACUGUGAUAUUGGCAUGUCAAAUCUGCCAUAUUCGGCGCCAGGUUUAUGUUCCACAAGCCUCCCACCCCAACAUGUACUUAGUGAGUAGUACAGACUACUGGGACACUAACCCAUUUGAGCUUGAAGGACUGAAUGGGCCAUGUGACACAAGUGUCAUGCUGGAGGAGGUAACGGCAGACAACA